rnacentral:rRNA from 1 species
GACGAACGCUGGCGGCGUGCCUAAUACAUGCAAGUAGAACGCUGAAGAAAGGAGCUUGCUUCUUUUGGAUGAGUUGCGAACGGGUGAGUAACGCGUAGGUAACCUGCCUUGUAGCGGGGGAUAACUAUUGGAAACGAUAGCUAAUACCGCAUAAUAGCUUUUGACACAUGUUAGAAGCUUGAAAGAUGCAAUUGCAUCACUACGAGAUGGACCUGCGUUGUAUUAGCUAGUAGGUAGGGUAACGGCCUACCUAGGCGACGAUGCAUAGCCGACCUGAGAGGGUGAUCGGCCACACUGGGACUGAGACACGGCCCAGACUCCUACGGGAGGCAGCAAUAGGGAAUCUUCGGCAAUGGGGGCAACCCUGACCGAGCAACGCCGCAUGAGUGAAGAAGGUUUUCGGAUCGUAAAGCUCUGUUGUAAGAGAAGAACGUGUGUGAGAGUGGAAAGUUCACACAGUGACGGUAACUUACCAGAAAGGGACGGCUAACUACGUGCCAGCAGCCGCGGUAAAAC